CCCUAGGGUUAAACCCUAAACCCUAACCCUAGGGUUAAACCCUAAACCCUAGGAUUAAACCCUAAACCCUAACCCUAGGGUUAAACCCAAACCUAAACCGUAGGGUUAAACCCUAAACCAUAACCCUAGGGUAAAACCCUAAACCCUAACCCUAGGGUUAUACCCUAAACCCUAACCCUAGGGGUAAACCCUAAACCCUAACCUAAACCCUAACAAUAGCGUUAAACCCUAAACCCUAACCUAAACCCUAACAAUAGCGUUAAACCCUAAAUCCUAAACCCUAACAAUAGCGUUAAACCCUAAACCCUAACCUAAACCCUAACAAUAGCGUUAAACCCUAAACCCUAACCUAAACCCUAACAAUAGCGUUAAACCCUAACAUAUAUGCAUAUAUACGUAUACAUAUAUUAAACCCUAAACCCUUCGGUUAAACCCUAAACCCAAUAUACUUACGCAUAAACAUAGAUAUAGACAUAUAUUCAUACCUAAACUCUAAACCCAAGGGUUAAAACCUAAACCCUAAACCCUAGGGUUAAAACCUAUACCCUAAACCCUAGAAUUAAAACUUAAACCCUAAACCCUAUAUAUUUACUUAUAUACAUAUUAUAUACAUAUACAUAUGCAUAUAUACAUAAACAUAUUCAUACAAAAACCCUAAAUCUAGGGUUAAAACCUAAACCCAAUAUACUUAUGCAUAUUCAUACAUAUUUAUUACUCAUAUGCAUUUAUUUAUAUAAUUCAUAGCUAAUCCCUAAACCCUAGGGUUAAACCCUAAACACUAACCCUAGGGUUAUCCUAAACCCUAUAUAGUUACGCAUAUAUAUACAUAUAUAUGUAUACAUAUAUUAAACCUUAAACCCUUAAAUCUAAACCCUAAACCCUAGGGUUAAAACCUAGACCCUAAACCCUAGGGUUAAAACCUAAUCCCUAUAUACUUACGCAUAUGCAUACAUAAUACUUACGCAUAUACAUACAUAUAUACUUACGCAUAUACAUAUUUAUUACUCAUAUGCAUAUGUAUAUAUACAUAUACUCAUACCUAAACAUUAAUCCCUAAACCCAAUACACUUAUGCAUAUUCAUACAUAUUUAUUACUCAUAUGCAUAUAUUUAUAUAAUUCAUAGCUAAUCCCUAAACCCUAGGGUUAAAACCUAAACCCGAACCCUAGGGUUAAACCUUAAACCCUAACCCUAGGGUUAAACCUUAAACACUAACCCUAGGGUUAAACCUUAAACCCUAACCCUAACCCUAGGGUUAUACCCUAAACCCUAUAUACUUACGCAUUUAUAUACAUAUAUACAUAUAUACGUAUACAUAUAUUAAACCUUAAACCCUAAACCUUAGGGUAAAACCUAGACCCUAAACCCUAGGGUUAAAACCUAAACCCUAUAUACUUACGCAUAUACAUACAUAUAUACUUACGCAUAUACAUACAUAUAUACUUACGCGUAUACAUACAUAUAUACUUACGCAUAUACAUAUUUAUUACUCAUAUGCAUAUGUAUAUAUACAUAUAUUCAUACCUAAAUAUUAAACCCUAGGGUUAUGUAUAUAUACAUAUAUUCAUACCUAAACAUUAAAAAAAUAAUAAAAAAGAAAAAACGUUUUUAAUAAG
rnacentral:lncRNA from 1 species